rnacentral:pre_miRNA from 11 species
UUCCAGAGAAAUUGCCAUACUGGUGUGCAAAGUUGCUGUACAAGCUGAAAGACCCCCAGAAUGGGGAGACCCUCACUCAAGUCUCGGGAUAAGCUGAUGCCCCAAUAAUUCAAGAGAGACC